GCCAGGCAUGGUGGCCCAUGCCUGUAAUCUCAACUACUCAAGAGGCUGAGGCAGGAGGAUUUCAAGUUUGAGGCCAGCUUGGGCAACUCAGUGAGACACCCUGCCUCAA
rnacentral:sRNA from 1 species